UGAAGAAGAUGGCCAUCGCGUCGGCGAUCGCCGGCCACAGCGCGAAGGCGAGGAUGGGCGGUAAUACUAAAGAAACGAACUGCGCCCUUUGCAAAAACUCGAAGUCGCGUUCUUGUGCUCUUUCUCGUUCCAGCGCCCUUCGCCGUCGCACGGCUCGCGACGCGGCGGCAGAUCUCGGUUUCCGUCGUUGCCUUAGUAAAGAUAAUCUUCUGGUAGGUGUCGCGACCUCGGGUGUCGAGAAUGAUAGAGACGACGUGAAGUCCGGCGCUAUCUGGCUCAAUGGAUCUGAUGACAACGGCUCCGUCCACGCGACGGCGUCGCUCGCGUCCUUGAGGCCGAAGGCGUCGCUGAGUUGCUGGAGCGGAUUUGGUGGGACGGCCGCGCCGCCUUUUACAAGUCC
rnacentral:ribozyme from 12 species